GAGCGUGUUGUUGCUCCUAGUGAGAAGACCCCCUCCAGAGAUGCCAGAGCAAGGAAAUGAAUCCAUGUGAAGAUGCUCAGACAGAGCAGACCCUGCAGACCGUUCCAGCUGCCUGGACCACUGCAAUGACAACUGGAAAGACAAAACAAGCAAACAGGGCAUGCAGAGCAAGCAGGCUUGCCCGACGCCCCCAAUCCCUGGGAUACUCCCCAAACUUUCCACUGUGGUCAGGCCCUUCUCACUGAGUGAGCACAAACUGACCUGCCCCAGGGACAAAGCAAGACCUUGCCUGGUCCUCUUGGCACCAGGGCUCAAAAUUAGACCUUGAAUACAAGGGCAGAGAGGGAGCGGUCUACACAGAGCCCUUCCCUCCGUUCCCCGGCCCCGGGGAUGGGAAGUGCUGUUGUUAGAAAUCUAGACCUCCAGCUCAAUAUAAAGGCCAGGGUUGAAGCUGUACAUCUGAAGUUUGAGAAAAGCUGAAAUUGAUUCUCCAAAAGAUAGUCACAUUAUAACCCCAAGGACCUGUGCGUUUCUAUAUGCAAAAAAAAAAAAAAAAAAAAGUAAUGAUUACAUUAAGAAUCUUGAGGCAGGGAGAUUAGCCUGGAUUGUGCAGGUGGGCCCGAGAUGCAAGCACCCGUAUCCCCAGAAGAGGGAGGCAGACAGAGAUUUGAUCACAGAAGAGAAGGCCAGGUGGCCACGGAGGCUGAGUUUGGAGGGAUGUGGCCACAAGCCGAGGACAGCGACAGGCACCAGAAAUUGGAAGGUUUAAGGAACUGAUGAUUCUCCCCAGAGCCCCCAGGGAGGGUGCAGCCUGCAGACACCUUGAUUUCGGCCCAGUGAUGCCGGCUUUGGGCUGCUGAUCUCCAGAACUAUAAGAAAAUAAGUGUGUGCUUAUCUGUAAGGUUGCUUAUGCCCCAAAUAGGUCUCGCGAGUCCUUAUUAUAAGCCGGGUGAGCGGCUAAAAGCAUUAAGGGAACGAACACUACCUCUUCCUCCGUCUUGUGACGUGGAUGCGGUGAAGUGGUUUGCAGGUGACUGAGCAGGUUGUGGUGCUGAUGGCCUGAUCCUUAAGGAGCAGGAGUGAUGGCUGGGAAGCGGUGUGGGAAGAGGGGUCACUAAAGCCACCUCACCUACAACCCUUCCCAGAAAAUUCUACGCAUUCUUCCACAUGCCUCAAACCUUGAAAUUGGGAAGUAGAGAUGUCAGCUGUCCCCUAAAAGACCUGUAUGGGCCAAAGUUUCUGCCUAACGGAGCUAACAUUUCUCAGCAGGCCACUAAAUGUGCCUCGGGCUGAUACUGCCCCAAAAGGAACUGCCUUGGGUCUGGCAUUUUCCGUUACGGCUCUCAGCCUUCUUACAGCAAGAUGCAGCUUACUGCUUAUCAACAGCACGGCAAGGAGGGAUGGGAGUGAGGGGUAAGGCCUGGCUGAGAAUUUCGGGGAACCCACGGCAUUGCUGGUCUUUGGAUAUCUCAGAAGUGGUCAGGGUCCAAGGCUAUGGGAUGGGGCUUCCCUUCUGAGGCCUGCGAGCUAAAGACAUCCCACCGAAUCCCCGAGACUCAUGGACGGUUCAUGGACAAAUACUUUCCCCUACCCCAAAGGCAAAGACCCCCAAGUCUACUGCCUCAACUUUCUCCCUUCCCUGAAACUCAGACAACCACUCUUUGUCCCUUUGUCCCCCAGCGCUGCAUUUCUUGGAAGCCUUCAACAACGGGGCUGAGAAAAUCCUGUCUGAUUCCCAGAGUUAAUGGAAUAACCUAUCAUGUUCCCAGAAGACCACUCAGCUCUGAACUCAGAUGCCAACAAUAUAAAUACUUCCAUUUUCCGGGUUGGGAAUCUUCAAAAGCCAAAAGAGCUAUGCCUGAGUGUGUCUCCCGCCGCCACGUUGAACACUUCCCAAGGCCAGGUUGUGCAGAAGGCCUUGCUAGCUAGUGAGAGACCUGAGAUGACAAGAGCCUGCAGCAGCUCCAACAUUUCUCCGAUGCCCCCGAGUACUUAUGGAGCGCCUACUGUGUGUCAGGUCACCAACAAAUAUGACGCGAGCAGAAGCUUGAAAAGUGCUUGUCCAUUAGGAUUUGUCUUCUCUUGCUGCCUUUGGAACCCACAGCUACGCGAAGAAGAUGGUGCUGGCCAGCUAGUUGUUGGCCAUGUGGGGCUCACGUGUCACCCCCAACCGAGUGCCCAACAUGUGAGUGAGGCCAUCUAGGGCCCAGUGAUGCUCACCUGAUCUUCCAACUGACUGCAGCUGCAUGAGAAAGCCAAGGCAAGACCAGUAGAAGAACCACUCGCCUGAACUCAGUUCAAAUGAUCAGUCCACAGAAUUAUGAGCUAUAAAUAAGUGCUGUUUUGGGGGGUAAUUGUUACUCAGUUAAAACCUGACUCAGUGACAAUAUAAUGAAAUUAACGUAUACACAUAUCCUGGAAUGUGAGUAAAGGACAUCAUUCUGCUACUGUCAUGUGAUUGCCACUUUUGGAUUAUUAUUUACAAUCUUACUAGUUGUAUUUAAUUUAUUUAUAAACUCAUGAGAAAAGAACAGUGUAAAUAAUUAUUCAUUCCACGUGAAGGCGAAUGAGAUUCUGGCCCUUUGUACAAAUGGGAAAAGGGGAGAAAUGAGGGAAUGGGGAGAUUUGGCAGAGAACGGAAUCAUAACCAGGCAUGACCCCCUUUCAACAAAUCGUAAAUCCAUCAUAUUGAUAUAAUUCUGUCAAUGUGCUUUUAUAGUGGAAUUUGAGUUGUAAACAUUAGGAAUUUGGACCCAUACUUACCUUUUUUUGUAUAUUCAUAUGCUUAAAUAACAUGAUGAUAAAUGUAUAUUUAAAUAACGUUAAAAUAUAGAUAAUUUAAUUCUUCCUGGAAAUCGGCAGGCAUUUUUCCUUUAUUUUUUAUUUUAUUAUUAUUAUUUUUUAUUUUAUUAUGUUAUGUUAGUCACCAUACAAUACAUCAUUAGUUUUU